UACGUAGGGUGCAAGCGUUGUCCGGAAUUAUUGGGCGUAAAGAGCUCGUAGGCGGUUCGUCGCGUCGGCUGUGAAAUCCCGGAGCUCAACUCCGGGUCUGCAGUCGAUACGGGCGGACUUGAGUUCGGCAGGGGAGACUGGAAUUCCUGGUGUAGCGGUGAAAUGCGCAGAUAUCAGGAGGAACACCGGUGGCGAAGGCGGGUCUCUGGGCAGUAACUGACGCUGAGGAGCGAAAGCGUGGGGGAGCGAACAGG
rnacentral:rRNA from 1 species